AAUUGAAGGGAAGCAAAAGGUGUUGUAGAGAGACCAAUUAAAAGGUUGUCACAGUAGUUCAUGCCAGAGAUGAUGGUGGCAUGGCCUAGCAUGACGGUGGUAGAAAUGGAGGGAAGUGGUAAGAGGUAAAAUCAACAAGACUUGCCGAUGGGCUGGAUGUCGGAAUUGGGGGAAGAAAGCUUUCUGGCCUGAGUAACUGGGUGAAUGAAGGUACACUUCUCUAAGACAGAGAAUGCUGGAAAAGAACCACGUUCAUGGAUAUUGAGUUCAAUUUGUGUGUACUAAAUUUGGGGUGACUAUGAGACCCCUAAGUGGAGAAGUAGAGUGUGAAGCUG
rnacentral:lncRNA from 10 species